GAGGUGUUGGGUUAAGUCCCGCAACGAGCGCAACCCCUACUGCCAGUUACUAACAGGUCAAGCUGAGGACUCUGGCGGAACUGCCGGUGACAAACCGGAGGAAGGUGGGGAUGACAUCAAGUCAUCAUGGCCCUUAUGUCCAGGGCUACACACGUGCUACAAUGGGCGGUACAACGUGACGCGAGUCCGUGAGGAUUGAGCGAAACCGGGAAAGCCGCCCGUAGUUCGGAUUGAAGUCUGAAACCCGACUUCAUGAAGUUGGAAUCGCUAGUAAUCGCGCAUCAGCAUGGCGCGGUGAAUACGUUCCCGGGCCUUGUACACACCGCCCGUCACACCAUCCGAGUUGGAGGUACCCGAAGCCGGUAGUCUAACCGCAAGGAGGACGCUGUCGAAGGUACGUUUAGUGAGGAGGGUGAAGUCGUAACAAGGUAGCCGUACUGGAAAGUGCGGCUGGAUCACCUCCUUUCU
rnacentral:rRNA from 1 species